rnacentral:rRNA from 1 species
ACGCUCGACACCUACGGGGCAGCAGUCGGGAAUAUUGCGCAAUGGAGGGAACUCUGACGCAGUGACGCCGCGUAUAGGAAGAAGGUUUUCGGAUUGUAAACUAUUGUCGUUAGGGAAGAGAAAGGACAGUACCUAAGGAGGAAGCUCCGGCUAACUACGUGCCGGCAGCCGCGGUAAUCUGAGCGGGCUGGCAAGGC